rnacentral:rRNA from 1 species
GACAGAGGUGCCGAGCGUUAGGCGGAAUCACUGGGCUUAAAGCGUGUGUAGGCGGGCGGGCAAGUACCUUGUGAAAUCCCACGGCUCAACCGUGGAACUGCUGGGUAUACUGCCUGUCUUGAGCCAGCCAGGGGCAGUCGGAACAGACGGUGGAGCGGUGAAAUGCGUAGAUAUCAGGAAGAACACCCGUGGCGAAGGCGGCUCUCUGGGACGGUACUGACGCUGAGACGCGAAAGCGUGGGGAGCGAACAGG